UUUAACAGUGUAUUGAUUUAGGUAAAGAUACGUAAUGUUUUUUAGAAGCUAAUAUUCACUUUAGGUAUAUCAUGUACUUUUACAUACUGGCAAUCAUGAUUAUGCUACAAAAAAUCCUUGUUAACAAUAACUGCACACGUUGCCAAUUACCUAGUGAUGGUAUGAAUGUUCAUAUAUAACUUGACAUGAAAAUCUACAUGACUCUUUUAUAUGCAUGUUCGCUGUCAUUGUACAUUGAAGGGUCACAGCCAAAUGUACUUGAUGACUACUCUGAUAAUUCCAUUAAAGAAGAUACAGUUAGGAAAUGGAUUCUUAAUACAGCGAAACAAAAGAAGAAAAAUAUUGAUGAAGCGGCCACUACAGAUACAACGGAUUCUACUCCGAAUACUAUGAUCCUAACGAUUAGAAAGAAAAUAGUUGAAGAAAGACAACAGACCGACCCUGAAUACGAGCCCGUUAUGUAUGUAGACAAUCCCGUAGAAGCCAAAUUGCCUUGUCGCUGGAUUAGUCGUAGUUCAUUAAGGGAAUUAAUAAAACAACGUGGGAAGGGAAACUUUAUGUCAAAAAACCUAGAAGAUUUAACAAAACAUUGUAUGAAACAAAGCGAAAUCAACAUCCGUGCCAAAUUAGACGAAACCACCAAAGAACCUAUUUUAGUAGUCGAAAAUCCUGUAGAAGCUAAUAUAGCAUGUCCUUUUAUUUCACGAAGUAAAUUAAGGACGAUAAUCUUAAAUCGUGCAAAGGAUAACGUGAAAGGAAUAGAUAAAACCGCAGAAGAUUCAGUAUUUUUUAGGAUACCAAUCGAAUGUGCUAGACAACAUGAAGAAAUUUCACAAAUAAAAGGUAUUACGAAUACAUACUUUACAAGACCAUCAAGAUAUACUUGUAUGCCUCCUACAACACAAGGUAACCAUUGUAACACAAGAACUACAACUACGGCAAGAAAAUCUUUUGAAUCUAUUAAGACGAAUGCCGCUGCUUUUAUUAUGAUGAUCUUAACGAUACCCAGAAAUACCUUUGUACCUUUUCGAACAAGCACCACCACAUACAUUACAUCUUCAAGCAACGCUGAAACUAUCUUAGGAGCUCCAACAAUGGGUACAUCUGUUUCUGCUGUUAUGCCUAUUUUUAUUUUUAUGGAUGAUAAAAUAACCCAAGGAAGUACGAUCGAACCCAUUACCAGUACCAGUACUACAACUUAUUUAACUAGGUCUUCAUUCGCUCCAAGAAAUACCACUAAAUCGACUACAUUAACAGCCUCUGUUGAUACUGAUAGAUCCAAAACGACACAAAUUAAUACGAUUGAACCUACGGUUACGAGUACUAACUCUUAUGAUACUAGGUCUUCAAUCAGUGCAAGAAAUAUUACGGAACCUAUUACUAAAAGAGCCUCUAUUGAUAUUGUUAAACCAAACACAACUCAGAGAAAUACCUUUAAACCUACUAUAUCAAUUUCCAAUGUUUUUUCUAUGUGGUCUUCAACCAGUCCAAAAUAUUUCUUUGAACCUAGUACAAUGAGAGCCUCUCUUGAUACUAGUAGAUCUAAAACGACACAAAGACAUACUUUUGAUCCUAUUACAAGAUCUACCACUUAUUCUAGUAGAUCUUCAAUCACUCCAAGAAAUAACAUUGAACUUACUACAAUGACAGCCUCUGUUGAUACUAAAAUACCCAAAACGACUCAAAGAAACACCCUUGUAUCUGCUAUCAUGAGUACUACCACUUAUACUAGUAGGUCUUUAAUGAUAUCCUCUGUUGACGCUAAUAGACCCAAAACGAGUCAAAGAAAUACCUUUGAACCUUCUGUUACGAGUACCACCACUUAUACUAGUAGGUCUUCAAACAGUCCAAGUAUAAGCAUCGAACCUACUACAAUGAAAUACUAUGUUGAUACUAGAAGGCCGAAAACAAAUCAUAAAAUAACCUUUGAACCUACUGUUACAAAUACCAUUACUUAUUCUAAUACGAGUAGGUAUUCAAUCAAACCAAGCAAUACCGAGACGAGUACUACCGAUUCUACUAUGACGACUUCAAUCGGCCAAAAAAAUACUAAUGUACUUGAUAUCAAACUCUUUGCUACAUCGACUACAAAGAGAAGGAGAAAAAGAACUAGAAGUACGAGUACAAGGAAUAGAAGGUUAAAGACCAGUACAAGACCACCGUUUUCAGAUGGAGAUUUUAUAUAUUAAAAUAAAUAAGUAACAUAUCAAUACAUAAACCUACAGUAUUCGCGACAUAUUUAAAAGGAUGGCUCAUCAUCGUGUCGAAAUCAGAGGGAAAAUGCCAAUCGUUUGCGCCGUAGCGAACGAAACGGUAAUCUCUCUUUAUCAUUCUUCCAUACUAGUACGACAGAGAGACAUUAGCGUUUCGUUCACUACCUACUGCGCAAACGAUUGGCAUCUUGGCUAGGCACCCUGAUCAGGUACCUAUAGU